rnacentral:tRNA from 1 species
UCCUCAGUGGCUGAAAUGGUAAAGAAUCUGCCUAUAAUGCAGGAGACCCAGCUUCGAUCCCUGGAUGGGGAA